rnacentral:rRNA from 1 species
GACUACUGGGGUAUCUAAUCCUGUUUGCUCCCCACGCUGUCGCGCCUCAGCGUCAGCAACUGCCCAGCAGGCCGCCUUCGCCACCGGUGUUCUUCCGGAUCUCUACGCAUUCCACCGCUACACCCGGAAUUCCACCUGCCUCUACAGUGCUCAAGUCCACCAGUUCGCAUGGCAGACUCGGGGUUGAGCCCCGAGCUUUCACCACACGCUUAGCAGACCGCCUACGCGCCCUUUACGCCCAGUGAUUCCGGACAACGCUCGCACCCUCCGUAUUACCGCGGCUGCUGGCACGGAGUUAGCCGGUGCUUCCUCACCCGGUACCGUCAGACUGGAAGAAUCCAGUUGUUCGUCCCGGGCAACAGGGGUUUACACACCGAAAUGCUUCAUCCCCCACGCGGCGUCGCUGCGUCAGCCUUUCGGCCAUUGCGCAAUAUUCCCCACUGCAGCCCCCCGUAGG